GAUGAAGAACGUAGCGAAAUGCGAUAAGUAAUGUGAAUUGCAGAAUUCAGUGAAUCAUCGAAUCUUUGAACGCACAUUGCGCCCCCUGGUAUUCCGGGGGGCAUGCCUGUCCGAGCGUCAUUACAACCCUCAAACUCAGCUUGGUGUUGGGCCCCGCCGCCCCGGCGGGCCCUAAAGUCAGUGGCGGUGCCGUCCGGCUCCGAGCGUAGUAAUUCUUCUCGCUCUGGAGGUCCGGUCGUGUGCUCGCCAGCAACCCCCAAUUUUUUUCAGGUUGACCUCGGAUCAGGUAGGGAUACCCGCUGAACUUAAGCAUAUCAAUAAGCGGAGGA
rnacentral:misc_RNA from 1 species